GACGAACGCUGGCGGCGUGCCUAAUACAUGCAAGUAGAACGCAGUUGCGAACGGGCGAGUAACGCGUAGGUAACUGCCUCAUAGCGGGGGAUUACUUUUUGAAACGAUAGCCAAUACCGCCUACUGUGAGAUGGACCUGCGUUGCAUUUGCUCGUUGGUGAGGUAAAGGCUCACCAAGGCGACGAUACAUAGCCGACCUGAGAGGGAGAUCAGUCAAACGAGGACUGAGAGACCGGCCAGACUUCCACGGGAGGCAGCAGUAGGGGAACUUUGGCAAAGGACGGAAGUCUGACCGAGCAACGCCGCAGGAGUGAAGAAAGUUGUCGGGUCGUAAAGGUCUGUUGUUAGAGAAGCGGUAACUGAACAGAAAGGGACGGCUAACUACGUGCCAGCAGCCGCGGUAAUAC
rnacentral:rRNA from 1 species